rnacentral:lncRNA from 1 species
GCUCGGGUCCCCUUCCAGUCUGUGGGGUAUUUCCUCUUUUGCUGUUUGCAGUAAAUCUUGCUGCUGUUCAUUGUUUGGGUCCACACUGCCUUUAUGAGCUGUAACAUUCACUGUGAAGGUCUGCAGCUUAGCUCCUGAAGCCACUGAGACCACGAACCCACCAGAAGGAAGAAACUCUGAACACAUCCGAACAUCAGAAAGAACAAACUCUGGACACACCGCCUUUAGGAACUGUAACACUGACUGAGAGAGUCCCAGACUUCAUUCUUGAAUUACAGGGCUUUGACUCUUGGGUCUGAAGAAGGCACCAGCCCCUGCUAAAUUCUGAGCAUUGACACCAGUGGAAGCCUCAUCCUCAGACUUGGAAGAAGGUAACAAUACAAAUGAACUGUUUUUGUGAGACACAGGCCAGAAAUUAAAACUAUUCAAUCCCUCUAGGCCCAGAGACUAUUGCAGGCUGAAGUGCAGUGGCGCCAUCUCAGCUCACUGCAAGCUCCACCUCCCGGGUUCACACCAUUCUUCUGGAUAUUCGGCAGACUUCUAAGAGCAAACUUUCAAGUUCUAAAUUCAGUCUCUUGACCUUAAACUAACUUUCUUGGAUAUUAGGUUCCCUGAAGUCUGAGAGAGACAUAUUAGGCUGAUUUGUUACGUUAGGAUUAUGCAAGAAGCAUUGCCAAAUCUGAGAUGAUGUUUAACUUCCCUUGGGUUAUAUUUAUAUAGAUGUAUUGUUAGUAUGUGUUCCAGGAUUGUAUGAGAGUCCUAAAAUUCUGAUACGUCUUAAUAUAUGUUGUCAGUAGUAAUUAUUAUUAUAUUAAGUUGUUUUAUGCCACAGAAAUGAUUAAGUUUCCUUGUCAACUGUGUCUUUAACUAUGGCUGUCUGAAGACUUUUGUCAUCCACAAUUGAUGUUUUGCUGUGAUCCUUCUCAAAAGAAAAAAAGUGACUUACAAUCAGCUAUAGUCCAAAGCUUCCUUCUUUGGAGGAGUUCAUGAAAAAGACUCUUGAAUGCAGGUUUCUGAUAACUUUGGAGAUUGUGCCACUAGAUUAGAGAGAAAAUUUCCAGGGCACUAAUUGAAAGGCUGAUGUGCUCAUAAAGAUUCCCAACCCAAUACGAAGCAGAGCAGGAGGUGAUUGCAUGGACUGAACUAAUGCAGGACAGAAAGAACUUUUUAUGGCUUUUGUUGUUUGAAAUAUUGCUGAUUCUUUUGGUUUUGUUUUUCAGAGUCUGGAGAAUCUUUUUCUUUUGAGCUAUUUAUUUAUAGCCUUUAAGUGUAUUUAUAGUCUUAAAGUAUAUAUACUUCAAGGGUAUUGAAUGGAGUAUGCU